rnacentral:lncRNA from 1 species
AGUGUGCAUAUUCAAGUAAUUAUGCACUAUCCUCCUUCUCUUGCUAUGGCUAUGCAGGAAUGUUUCAACAGCUGAAAAGCAUUUGGAAGUCACAUCCAGAAACAUCCUGACACCUGUGUUACUACCUGUCUCCACUCUGACUUAGGUAGAGAGUCCCUCCAAGUAGCUGUUUCUCAACAGGGCAAGAUCAGGUUGGUGGCUGAGAAGCACUAUACCUGUGUUUCCUGUUGCUGCAGGAAUUCUGUCCAGUGACUUUCACAUCACAGGUUAUACAGCGAACAGCAUUUGGAUCAGAAGUCUCAUUGUGCAUACUAAUCUGAGGGGGAUUUUUUCACUGUUCAUAUGCAGGUUUUGAGACAAUGAUUUAAAAAGGCUGAUGGGAU